rnacentral:tRNA from 1 species
GGCCUCGUAGCUCAGCUGGUGGAGCAUUCGUAGUACUAAAGCGAGGUCAGUGACCAUGCGUGGGUUUAAAUCCCGCCGGGGCCA